rnacentral:rRNA from 1 species
UACAGAGGUCCCAAGCGUUUGUUCGGAUUCACUGGGCGUAAAGGGUGCGUAGGUGGCCAGGUAAGUUCGGUGUGAAAGCUCGGAGCUUAACUCCGAAAUGGCAUUGAAUACUAUCUGGCUAGAGGGUCGGAGGGGAGACUGGAAUUCUCGGUGUAGCAGUGAAAUGCGUAGAUAUCGAGAGGAACACCAGUGGCGAAGGCGAGUCUCUGGACGACACCUGACACUGAGGCACGAAAGCCAGGGGAGCAAACAGG